rnacentral:rRNA from 1 species
AGAGUUUGAUUAUGGCUCAGGAUAACGCUGGCGGCAUGCCUAAUACAUGCAAGUCGAAUGGUUAGCUUGCUAGACCAUGGCGAACGGGUGAGUAACACGUAGGUAACCUACCUUAAGGACGAGGAUAACCUUUGGAAACGAAGGAUAAUACUGGAUAGGACAUUAUAAAGCACAUGCUUAAAUGUUUAAAGGAGCAAUCCACCAUAAGAGGGGCCUGCGGCGCAUUAGCUAGUUGGUGAGGUAAAGGCCCACCAAGGCGAUGAUGCGUAGCUGGACUGAGAGGUUGAACAGCCACAAUGGGACUGAGAACGGCCCAUACUCCUACGGGAGGCAGCAGUAGGGAAUUUUCGGCAAUGGGCAAAAGCCUGACCGAGCAAUGCCGCGUGAUCGAAGAAGUAUUUCGGUAUGUAAAGAUCUUUUAUCGGGGAAGAAAAGACAGAUUGACUGAACCUGAUGAAUAAGCUCCGGCUAACUACGUGCCAGCAGCGGC